rnacentral:rRNA from 1 species
GGUGUAAAGUUCAGGCGGUAAGAGAGGGGCUCGCGGCCCAUUAGAUAGUUGGUGAGGUAACGGCUCACCAAGUCGACGAUGGGUAGCCGACCUGAGAGGGUGAUCGGCCACAUUGGGGCUGAGACACGGCCCAAACUCCUACGGGAGGCAGCAG